AAAAUUAGCUUAAAGUAAAAGUUUGGAUUUUUGAUCCGAGGAUAUUUUUUAGUUUCUGUGG
rnacentral:tRNA from 1 species